rnacentral:tRNA from 1 species
GCCUUAUUAGCUCAGUUGUUAGAGCGCUGGUCUUGUAAACCAGGGGUCCAGAGUUCAACUCUCGGAUGAGGCU